AUAGCCCGAUGAAAGUUGGAUUAAUACCGCAUAUAGCUAUAUAGUUGCAUGAUUAUGUAGUGAAAGAUUUAUUGGUAUAGGAGGAGUCUGCGGCACAUUAGCUAGUAGGUGAGGUAAAGGCUUACCUAGGCGACGAUGUGUAGCCGGUCUGAGAGGAUGAACGGCCACAAUGGAACUGAGACACGGUCCAUACUCCUACGGGAGGCAGCAGUGGGGAAUAUUGCACAAUGGGGGAAACCCUGAUGCAGCAACGCCGCGUGAGUGAAGAAGGUUUUCGGAUUGUAAAGCUCUGUUAGCAGGGAAGAGGAAGGACGGUACCUGCAGAGGAAGCCACGGCUAACUACGUGCCAGCAGCCGCGGUAAUACGUAGGUGGCAAGCGUUGUUCGGAAUAACUGGGCGUAAAGGAUGCGUAGGCGGUUAAACAAGUUAUAUGUUAAAUAUAUAGGCUUAACCUGUAGAAAGCGUAUAAAACUGUUUAACUAGAGUGCAGGAGAGGUAAGUGGAAUUCCUAGUGUAGCGGUGAAAUGCGUAGAGAUUAGGAAGAACACCAGUGGCGAAGGCGACUUACUGGACUGUAACUGACGCUGAGGCAUGAGAGCAUGGGGAGCAAACAGGAUU
rnacentral:rRNA from 1 species